UACAAUAUAUCAUUGGCAUAAUAUAUGGUUUAUUUCUCACCAUUACAUGUAAACAGGAUUUCUACAGCAGAUAUAAUUUACAGAAUCCGGUGACUAUCUUUUACUCUCAUGAAAUAAAGGAUCUACCGCGUGCUACGUGUGCACUAUUGUGUUCAUCUACUGAAGGUUGUUCAUGGUUCUACUGGUACAACAGAUCCUGUCAUGUACUCAACGGAGCCUCGCCUGGUAACAGUUCAGUAAAUAUUGGAUUUAUUUACGUUGACGAUGCACUUGGGGAUAAUUGUCAUCUAGCUGGGUAUUUGCCCAUAUUAGGGGGGUUAUUAUGUGUAAAGGUAUACAACACACCAAAGAAUUGGAUAGACGCCAAGGCAACUUGUGAACAAGAUGGUGGACAGUUACUUGUGAUGAGAACGAGUGUCUUCCAUUUUAAACUGAAUGCACUGAAGAUGUUACCUUCAAUCUCUACAACCGUGCAAUAUUGGAUUGGAGGCAAUGACAUGGAUGAAGAAUCCAAAUUUAUGUGGAUAGAUGGGUCGCAAGUUAUAACCGAGGGAUGGCGACAAGGGAGCCCGAAUGACUACGGCGGUUAUGAAG